ensembl:lncRNA
UAUUAUUAUACUAUUCUUUCUAUUUUCUCUCUUUUUUAAGUAGUAUUGAGUACUUUUUAAGAUUUUAUACUAAAAAAGUUUUUUGUUUUUUGUUUUUUACAUUUUCGCUAAGCAUUGAAUUAGCAGAAUUUGAAGAAUCUUGUAUUAUAUUUUGCUAAGCAUUGAAUAUGGCAGAAUUCAAAGCAGAGAACUUUAUAGCUGAGGCAGAAAGUACUGGGAAUGUUCAGGGAACAGAGAAAUGUGAACUGAUAAGGAAUAACAGGGAGAAGCAACUUCCUUCCUCGUUGUCAGCCAGACACAGAUACUGUACAUAAAAUAGUGCAAAGGAAGCAGAGAAUUCCUUUCCAGGCUAACCUGAUUCCAUUUCCACUAGCAAUCCCAUCAACCUUUGCCUUUCUCUUUUCUAAAGGGGCUGACAAUGCCGGAGAGGAGGGAUACGUGAGCCUUAGGCCUUCUUGUAAAACAUCAUUUCAGCUUCCAAUUAGGUCAUGUCUAUCCUGGGCCACACUGAUUCAGGCUGCUUGUCCUCACAUUAAUGCGCCUUCAUCACCUCGAGGAAGAUAACUUUCCCAGAUACUGAAGUCAAGAAGCCGCUGGAGCACACUUCCUUAAUUCACCUCCAAAAAGGUAAACCUUUUUUACUCUGGGCCCAGGACACACCCACAGCACAGGGAGCAUGCAGUGGGCCACGCAGUGCAUGGUGUAUGGCAGGAGGACCUUUCAAUGGGAGGAACAAGGAGAAGGAUGGGACUUCCGUUUUCUGCUUGUUCUCUCUUCCAUGUAGCUGGAAAAGUAGGAAUGGCCUGGGGGAUAAAAGCCAGGCUAGGGUACAGAUGCUAAUGUGAAAGGGGACGGCCUGGAGUUGUGCAAGGCACAACCUACACAGCUAUAUGUGGUGGCCCAGCUGGUCCCCACCUUAUCACAGUAAGGAAUACCAGAUGGGGAUUUAGGGUCAUAGCAAUAUUAAAGAAUGCUCAUUUCAGCCGGGAGCCGUGGCUCCUGCCUGUAAUCCCAACACUUUGGGAGGCUGAGGCAGGUGGAUCACUUGAGGUCAGGAGUUCGAAACCUGGCCAACAUGGUGAAACCCCAUCUCUACUAAAAAUACAAAAAAUUAGCCAGGCAUGGUAGUGGACACCUGUAGUCCCAGCUACUCAGGAGGCUGAGGCAGAAGAAUCGCUUGAACUCGGGAGGUGGAGGUUGCAGUGAGCUGAGAUCGUGCCAUUGCACUCCAGCCUGGGCAACCGAGUGAGACUCCAUCUCAAAAAGAAAAAAAAAAGAAGAAGAAGAAGAAGAAGAAUGCUCAUUAAUUUGUGUUGCCAUGCUAACUACCCCUCAGAAAAGUGUGUCAGUUUCCUCAGGCUAAUAAACUAAUAUUGCCGGGCAUGGUGGCUCAUGCCUGUAAUCCCAGCACUUUGGGAGGCCGAGGCAGGUGGAUCACUUGAAGUCAGGAGUUCAAGACUAGCCUGACCAACAUCGCGAAACCCCGUCUCUACUAAAAAUACAAAAAUUAUCUGGGCGUGGUGGCAGGUUCCUAUAGUCCCAGAUACUCAAGAGGCUGAGACAGGAGAAUCGCUUGAACCCAUGAGGCAGAGGUUGCAGUGAGCUGAGAUAGAGUCACUACACUCCAGCCUGGGUGACAUAGUGAGAUUCCAUCUCAAAAACAAACAAACAAACAAACAAACACUGAAGCAAAUAGCAACUUUUUGGCCAUCUCCAGUGUGAGAUUCCCACAGCGUGACUCACCCUGCCAUGGAAUCCUGGAGGGGAGCACUGGUAAAGCAGCUAAAGCCUUGACUGCUAUAGUCAUCAUGGCCUCCAGGAACAACAGUGCUCUGCUGAGCAGGCUCCAUGGGCCCUGCCCACUGACAUCCACUUAUCAAAGUGGUGGGGUUAGGCAGCAUGUUUUCUACUAGCCUCUUAUGGAUGUGGGACCAGGAUGGAGCCUCUGACCCAGGCAGGUAUGGGCUGACUGUGACUUCUAGCCUAAACGUGGCCAGUUUCUUUCUGCCAGCAACUUGAAUGGAAAAGUAACAAGAAAAGGGGUCAGUUAGCAAGAG